rnacentral:rRNA from 1 species
AGUCGAGCGGUAACAGGGGUAGCUUGCUUCCCGCUGACGAGCGGCGGACGGGUGAGUAAUGCAUGGGUAUCUGCCCGGUUGUGGGGGAUAACUCGGGGAAACCCGAGCUAAUACCGCAUACUUCCUACUGGAGAAAGCAGGGGAUCUUCGGACCUUGCGCUAUCGGAUGAGCCCAUGUCGGAUUAUCUUGUUGGUGAGGUAACGGCUCACCAAGGCAACCAUCCGUAGCUGGUCUGAUAGGAUGAUCAGCCACACCGUGACUGACACUCGGACCGGACUCCUACCGGAGGUAGCACUGGGGAAUAUUGGACAAUGGGGGAAACCCUGAUCCAACCAUGCCGCGUGUGUGAAGAAGGGCUUCAGGUUGUAAAGCACUUUCAGUGGGGAAGAAGGCAUGGUGGAUAAUAACCACCAUGAACGACUUCACCCACAAAAGAAGCUCCGGCUAACUCCCUGCCUGCCUCCGCGGNAAUACGGAGGGUGCUAGCNUUGAUCGGAAUUACUGGGCGUAUAGGGGGCGUAGGCGGCUUGCCAAGCCGGAUGUGAAAUCCCCGGGUUCAUCCCGGGAACGGCAUUCGGAACUGGCUGGCUACAGUGCAAGAUAGGAAGGUGGAAUUCCCGGGGUAUCGCUGAAAUGCGUAGAGAUCGGGAGGAAUACCAGUGGAAACGCGGGCUUCUGGACUGACUCUGACGCUGAANUGCGAAAGCGUGGGUAGCAACAGGAUUAGAUACCCUGGUAGUCCACGCCNUAACGAUGUCGACCAGCCGUUGGACCCCUUGAGGGUUUGGUGGAGCCCUUAACGCCUAAGUCACCGCCUGGGGAGUCGGCCGCGAAGUUCAAACUCAAAUGAAUUGACCGGGGCCCUCACCAGCGGCGGAGCAUGUGGGUUUAAUUCUGAUGCAACACUAAAACUUUCCCUGCUCAUUG